GACGAACGCUGGCGGCGUGCCUAAUACAUGCAAGUAGAACGCAGUUGCGCACGGGUGAGUAACGCGUAGGUAACUGCCUCAUAGCGGGGGGUAACUAUUGGGAACGAUAGCUAAUACCGCAUACUUUGAGAUGGACCUGCGUUGUAUUAGCUAGUGGGUGAGGUAAAGGCUCACCAAGGGGACGAUACAUAGCCGACCUGAGAGGGUGAUCGGCCCACAUGGGAAUGGGGAACCGGCCAGAUUCCUACGGGAGGCAACAGGAGGGAAACUUCGGGAAUGGGCGGAAGUCUGAACGAGGAAAGGCGCGGGAGGGAAGAAGGUUUUCGGGGCGUAAAGCUAUGUUGUUAGAGAAGCGGUAACUAAACAGAAAGGGACGGCUAACUACGUGCCAGCAGCCGCGGUAAUAC
rnacentral:rRNA from 1 species